CACGUGCUCCGGGGUCGGUGAAAGUCCGAACCGGCGGUGAUAGUCCGCGACCCGUUGCCUCAGCUUGAGUAAAUGCUCUUGAAGGGGGACGGCUGAACUGGUGAAAAUCCAGUACCGACAGUAAAAGUCUGGAUGGGAGAAGCACGGU
rnacentral:ncRNA from 2 species